UUUAUCUCGGUGUUAGAGCACAUAAAUUUUUGGUGUUUAAGGAAGGGAACUAGAUAAAU
rnacentral:tRNA from 1 species